CACGUGGGGGCCAAGCGUUGUCCGGAUUUAUUGGGCGUAAAGAGCUCGUAGGCGGUUCAGCAAGUCGGGUGUGAAAACUCUGGGCUCAACCCAGAGACGCCACCCGAUACUGCUGUGACUAGAGUCCGGUAGGGGAGUGGGGAAUUCCUGGUGUAGCGGUGAAAUGCACAGAUAUCAGGAAGAACACCCGUGGCGAAAGCGGCUCUCUGGAACGGUACUGACGCUGAGACGCGAAAGCGUGGGGAGCGAACAGG
rnacentral:rRNA from 1 species